AGAGUUUGAUCCUGGCUCAGAUUGAACGCUGGCGGCAUGCCUAACACAUGCAAGUCGAACGGAAACGAUGGGAGCUUGCUCCCAGGCGUCGAGUGGCGGACGGGUGAGUAAUACUUAGGAAUCUACCCAGUAGCGGGGGACAACUCGAGGAAACUCGAGCUAAUACCGCAUACGCCCUACGGGGGAAAGCAGGGGAUCUUCGGACCUUGCACUAUUGGAUGAGCCUAAGUCGGAUUAGCUUGUUGGUGAGGUAAAGGCUCACCAAGGCAACGAUCCGUAGCUGGUCUGAGAGGACGAUCAGCCACACUGGGACUGAGACACGGCCCAGACUCCUACGGGAGGCAGCAGUGGGGAAUAUUGGACAAUGGGCGCAAGCCUGAUCCAGCAAUGCCGCGUGUGUGAAGAAGGCCUGCGGGUUGUAAAGCACUUUCAGUAGAGAAGAAAAGCCUACGGUUAAUACCCGUGAGUCUUGACGUUACCUACAGAAGAAGCUCCGGCUAACUCCGUGCCAGCAGCCGCGGUAAUACGGAGGGAGCGAGCGUUAAUCGGAAUUACUGGGCGUAAAGCGCGCGUAGGCGGCUUUGUAAGUCGGAUGUGAAAGCCCUGGGCUCAACCUGGGAAUGGCAUUCGAUACUGCAGAGCUAGAGUAUGGUAGAGGGAAGUGGAAUUUCCGGUGUAGCGGUGAAAUGCGUAGAUAUC
rnacentral:rRNA from 1 species